rnacentral:rRNA from 1 species
CCUACGGGAGGCAGCAGUGAGGAAUAUUGGACAAUGGGCGCAAGCCUGAUCCAGCCAUGCCGCGUGCAGGAAGACGGUCCUAUGGAUUGUAAACUGCUUUUGUACAGGAAGAAACACUCCCUCGUGAGGGAGCUUGACGGUACUGUAAGAAUAAGGAUCGGCUAACUCCGUGCCAGCAGCCGCGGUAAUACGGAGGAUCCAAGCGUUAUCCGGAAUCAUUGGGUUUAAAGGGUCCGUAGGCGGUUUAAUAAGUCAGUGGUGAAAUCUGGUCGCUCAACGAUCAAACGGCCAUUGAUACUGUUAGACUUGAAUUAUUAGGAAGUAACUAGAAUAUGUAGUGUAGCGGUGAAAUGCUUAGAUAUUACAUGGAAUACCAAUUGCGAAGGCAGGUUACUACUAAUGGAUUGACGCUGAUGGACGAAAGCGUGGGGAGCGAACAGGAUUAGAUACCCUGGUAGUCCACGCCGUAAACGAUGGAUACUAGCUGUUCGGAGCAAUCUGAGUGGCUAAGCGAAAGUGAUAAGUAUCCACCUGGGGAGUAACGUUGCAAGAUGAAACUUAAAGGAAUUGAGG